CCUACGGGAGGCAGCAGUGAGGAAUAUUGGUCAAUGGCCGCAGGGCUGAACCAGCCAAGUCGCGUGAGGGAUGACGGUCCUAUGGAUGGUAAACCUCUUUUGUCAGGGAGCAAAGGGCGCCACGUGUGGCGGGUUGCGAGUACCUGAAGAAAAAGCAUCGGCUAACUCCGUGCCAGCAGCCGCGGUAAUACGGAGGAUGCGAUCGUUAUCCGGAUUUAUUGGGUUGAAAGGGUGCGCAGGCGGCAUGUCAAGUCAGCGGUAAAAUUUCGGGGCUCAACCCCGCCGUGCCGUCGGAACUGGCGUUCUUGAGUGCGCCAGAAGUAUGCGGAAUGCGUGGUGUAGCGGUGAAAUGCAGAGAUAUCGCGCAGAACUCCGAUUGCGAAGGCAGCAUGCCGGCGCUCAACUGACGCUCAUGCACGAAAGCGUGGGUAUCGAACAGGAUUAGAUACCCUUGUAGUC
rnacentral:rRNA from 1 species